CAGCAGCCGCGGUAAUACGUAGGGUGCAAGCGUUAAUCGGAAUUACUGGGCGUAAAGCGUGCGCAGGCGGUUUUGUAAGUCUGUCGUGAAAUCCCCGGGCUCAACCUGGGAAUGGCGAUGGAGACUGCAAGGCUAGAAUCUGGCAGAGGGGGGUAGAAUUCCACGUGUAGCAGUGAAAUGCGUAGAUAUGUGGAGGAACACCGAUGGCGAAGGCAGCCCCCUGGGCUAAGAUUGACGCUCAUGCACGAAAGCGUGGGGAGCAAACAGGAUUAGAUACCCCUGUAGUCCCUGUCUCUUAUAC
rnacentral:rRNA from 1 species